GCUGUAGUUCAGGGUGGUCGUUUGGUGGCUGGCCGGCGGGGUUAUACUUCUACUAAGGUGUCCUAGGGUUUUUGGUUGUUGCCUCCAUUGUUGUCAAGAAGAAUGUGAUGAAGGGAGGUUCUUUGGGUGAGGGAGUCAGAGUUUUUGGGUUGGUGGGAUGGCUGCUCCUCUUAGUCCCUAUGGUUAGCUCUUGUCUCUUUAAGAAUGAAGAAGAAGACCCUCCUCAAGUCUUUCUAGGGUUUGUUAAGUUUUGGG
rnacentral:lncRNA from 1 species